rnacentral:rRNA from 1 species
UACAGAGGGUGCAAGCGUUGUCCGGAAUUAUUGGGCGGAAAGCGCGUGUAGGCGGCUUUGCAAGUCGGGUGUGAAAGCCCUCGGCUCAACCGAGGAAGUGCGCCCGAAACUGCAGAGCUUGAGUACCGGAGAGGAUGGCGGAAUUCCCCAAGUAGAGGUGAAAUUCGUAGAUAUGGGGAGGAACACCGGUGGCGAAGGCGGCCAUCUGGACGGAUACUGACGCUGAGACGCGAAAGCGUGGGGAGCAAACAGG